rnacentral:misc_RNA from 1 species
UCUCCGUAGGUGAACCUGCGGAGGGAUCAUUACCGAGCAAGCCCCCCCAGGGGCGACCUCCAACCCUCUGUCGUCGAACCGCGUUUCCUCCCGGGGCGUGCCCGCGCCUUUUUGCGGCCACCCCCGGGGCGGACCCUUCAAAACUCUUCGUACCUUUGCCGUCGGAGUGAAUCGUAAAUAUAUCAAAACUUUCAACAACGGAUCUCUUGGUUCUGGCAUCGAUGAAGAACGCAGC